UGCUGCCUGUUGCAAUAGAGGGGCCUGCCACUGCUGUGUGGAGCAGAGCUGUUACUCCUACCACGGCUCAGCUGGUACUGAGCCACACUCAAGGGCACUGCCAUAAAUAAGAGGAGGGGGAAGCCUGCUCUGGCUUGCCUCAGUUUGUGUGUGAACUGGUGAGCAAUGAACACACUAAUGUUUGUGCUUGGUUCUGUGACAACACUAUAAACUGAUUAUGUAAUUCUUGUCAUUUCUAACCCUAUUUCUGCUUCAAAUGUGGUAUAUAGUGUUGAGAUUUUCAAUAGAAAACUGGUACUGCAUAAUUUAAUAUGAAAUUUUCUGCAGAAACAGAGGAUGAUAAUGGAGUAAUGGCAAGAAAUAAAAAGGAAAUUAUGUGACAUGAUUUUAUGUAUAAUAAAUAAAAUAUUAAUCUAUUUGUUCAUAUUGUUUUUCAGCAUAAUAUUUCAGUGUGUCUUAUAAUUUGCAGUGAAAGUGCUUAUAUAAUCACUAAUGUGUGUGAUUUACAAUUUAAUAGUGCUGUGAGUCUGGAAUGUGAAGGUUACCUUGGAAUAUAAACAAACCAGUAAACAAUAACAAAAGACUGACACUAUACUUACAGGCAUGUAUUAAUGCUUUCAUGUGCAUUGGUCUGAAUUGCAAGAUUAUGAAAUGUAAUUGAGUAAAUCAUUUACAGAGAAAGGCACAAAGGUGUUUGUUAUUGAUUCUUCCUUGCCUGGUGGACUGGUAACUGAUCAAUACUGGUUGCUUAUUACCUUCACACUUGUACCCAGAUACCACUAACAACAGAACUAAAUGCACCUGCUACAUUUCAUUUCUCACUAACUGAUAAACAACAUGUUUCUUAGUCAGAUGGAUGUUCACAGCACACAAUGGAGCAAAUUCACAGGACACUGAUACAUCCAGAAAUUUGCCAUGUGCUGGUAGUAGGACUAUGCUGAGUCAUUUCAACACUUGUGUUGUUGUGCCUGCACAGAAUGUUGAACUAUGUGUUCAGAAGAAAAAUGGGAACUUUGAAGCAUACCUGUUUCAUUUAAUGUGCGGCUCUUUCUAGGGGGUCCACGGCCACGUUUCACCAAAUUGUGUAAA